GUCACCCAUUUAAUCUCCCUCAUGACUCCCUUGGUAAGGUGAACCAUGGGCCAGCCGGUAUUAAUCCAGCAGUGAGUUCUUCACUGUUUCCUUCAUCCGCACACCGCAGCAACCGCAUUGCCUCCUCCCACCCACGGCGCUGCACGUCGCACCGGGGCCUACGACGCCCAUCUCUCCCCCUCCCACGCUGAGCCGAGCGCGCCUUGCAGCCUGUUUGCCUCCUCGGCGUGUCAGGAGGAACGGAACCGUCGAUGCCCAUAAAGAGCAGACUUCAUGGCUGUCAAAACUUCCACAACAUUCAAACCGCCUCCCAGCUUUUAACUGUCGACCACCGCAUGGACUCCUGGAGCUGGACGGAAGCCAAUCAUCUGGUUCGCCUCCUUUGCUCAAAACUGUUUCCCCCAGUCUUCCAAGAAGCAAAUCAAGAGCUUUAACUCAGCCGCCUACGUAUUGGGUCGACUCUGGUUGCUUGGAUGGAGGUGGAUACCAUGAGCGUUUGUGUUCUUUGCUUCCUCGCUUGAGCACGAUCAGUGGCGCUCAGGUUGUUUGCUCCCCAAACAGCUGAACCGGGUUAAUCUAUUCUGAGACAGGUAGCACCAGAAUCACGAUUCACUUUUGAGUUUCCGUCUUUCUGAUCUUGAGCAAACAACCUUUGAAAUGUGCAACGAUGGAGCCGCAGAACCACAUUAAGGUGUUUGUAUCUCUCUAUCAGUUUGUGGACAGCUUUAUCUCCCUACAUCAGUAUUGGUGCAGCACCAGCUAUUAAUAAUCUCCCCCUCUUUCUUUCCCAGGAAUACAUAUAUUAACCAAGAGAUAUAUUGUUAAGAAAUGAUAAAUCACUGAAGCUUUUUUAGGAUAAUUUCUUGGCAACACAAAACCCCUCAGAAUUACAAUAUUUACUGUAUAUCCAACUACAUUGUUUAGUACUAUAACAAAUAGUCUAAUAUAUAUCAGUGAAGUAA